rnacentral:rRNA from 1 species
UUUGGUGGUUAGAGCGAGGUGGAACCACCCGUUCCCAUCCCGAACACGGAAGUGAAACGCCUCAGCGCAGACGAUACUGGGGGUUGUCCUCUGGGAAAAUAUGCCACUGCCAGGA